rnacentral:rRNA from 1 species
GACGAACGCUGGCGGCGUGCCUAAUACAUGCAAGUCGAGCGGAAGUUGAAGAGCUUGCUCUUCAACUUUAGCGGCGGACGGGUGAGUAACACGUGGGCAACCUGCCCUGCAGAUCGGGAUAACUCCGGGAAACCGGUGCUAAUACCGAAUAGCUUUGGGUCCCUCCUGGGACCUAACGGAAAGACGGUUUCGGCUGUCACUGCAGGAUGGGCCCGCGGCGCAUUAGCUAGUUGGUGGGGUAACGGCCCACCAAGGCGACGAUGCGUAGCCGACCUGAGAGGGUGAUCGGCCACACUGGGACUGAGACACAGCCCAGACUCCUACGGGAGGCAGCAGUAGGGAAUCUUCCGCAAUGGACGCAAGUCUGACGGAGCAACGCCGCGUGAGUGAUGAAGGUUUUCGGAUCGUAAAACUCUGUUGCGAGGGAAGAAACCGUGCCAAUUAACUACUGGCACCUUGACGGUACCUCGCCAGAAAGCCACGGCUAACUACGUGCCAGCCGCCGCAGUAA